rnacentral:rRNA from 1 species
UACGGAGGGGGCUAGCGUUGUUCGGAAUUACUGGGCGUAAAGCGCGCGUAGGCGGCUUAGCAAGUUAGAGGUGAAAGCCCGGGGCUCAACUCCGGAAUUGCCUUUAAGACUGCAUCGCUAGAAUUGUGGAGAGGUAAGUGGAAUUCCGAGUGUAGAGGUGAAAUUCGUAGAUAUUCGGAAGAACACCAGUGGCGAAGGCGACUUACUGGACACAUAUUGACGCUGAGGUGCGAAAGCGUGGGGAGCAAACAGG